CAACUUUGAGACAAUGGAUGUGGUAUAUCACAGAUAAAAUCCAAUGUACGUUUUCCUACCUAGAGACAACCACAAUGUAAUAUUGUUGCCUGUAACAAGUAUCUUUGUUUCAGGCUUCUGUACCCUAACUUUUGAACACCCAGUCUUUCUUAUGUUUCAGAAAUCUGUUCUACAUGGAGAUCAGGGAGACAUUUGUUUAAGGGCUUAUCCACACAUGUUUUUGCCUUGUUCUUUCCAGGUCAACACUUAAAAGCUCUGUAUCUGAGUGGGUUUUUUGUUUGUUUGUUUGUUUGUUUCUGUUUUUACCCAUGAGCUUUCCCCACGCUUCAGUACUCAGUUGCCAUUUGCUCCAAUUGAGCUUUAAAGAGCAUGUUUUCAUGGGGAAAGCUCUGGACAAAAAAAAAUGUCACUCAGAUACAGAGUUUUAAAGGAAGGAUCUUGCCUGGAAAGAGCAAAGGAAAGUAUAAUAAGCCCUAAGUUUGCUUUCCAAACUAAUUCAUAAAUCCAAACACAGCUAUCUUUGGAAUUCAUUAUUUGAAUCUUAUGGUGCUGUUCUCCAACCAAGAAAUGUAAACAAAAAUGCAUUUAAUAGGGCACUUUAUUUUAAGAAAAUUGUUUGCUUGCAAAAAAUAUUGAUUUUCCGGAGGAGUUUAAAAAGAAUCCUGUUUAUCCAGGCUCAAAGAUACUGUUCCUGGCUUCGCUGAAAUCACUGGUUGAGUGAACGUUUUAAACGGUUUGUAGAAUGUAUUUGUUUGUUCACUCACUGAGACUAUGCACGAAGCGGGAGCCAGUUCUGAAUGAAUUCAGCUUGCAAGAGUCAACUCCCAGCACUUGUGGCUGUAACCUUACCAUCCUUCCUCAUUCAGUUCUCUCUGGAAGAGGAAAAGUCCUACCUGCUGGGAGCUUUGAUCUCCUUUGGCUGACGAGUGCACAGGUGCUCUCCUUCCUUAUUGGUGUGCCUUCCCUCUCUGCAAAUAUUUGCUUUGGGUAAUAGCAGCUGCUCAUAUUUUAUGGUAUGCCAUCCCAAUCUUGGCCUAGAGCAGGUUUUUGGACACAUUACAGUGCCGGAUUUACGAGGCCAUUGAUCCAUAAAAUGAAAGCAAUAAUCAAAGUACAAAUAAAUAAAACAGUAUUUUUUUAAUGAUCUUUAUUGGUUUUACAGAUUUUACAAAUUUCACCAUCAUAAUACAUAAUACAUAUGUUUUCCUUUUAACCUUAAUACUUUAACUCUAAACAAGUUUGUACUUCCCUCCCUCCUUCUUCUGAUUUCUCUAUAUUUUCUUUAUAUUUACGCAUUUGUCAUGUUUGCAUUCUAUAUGUACUUAAUACUAUGGAAUAAUACUAUUCAAAAUUUCAUUAAAUAUAUAUCCUUCAGUUGUUGUAAUAUAUUUCUUCAGUGUUCUUAAAUCCAAAAUGAAUGAUUUUUAAUAAACAUUAUGAGGUCUAUUUCAGUUCCACAAAUUUGUGUAUAGUUCUUUUCUAUGUAUGUUGUAUAUUUCAUCCAGUCUCUUUGGAAUGCUUCGUCACCCUGUUCUCUGAUUUUUCCAGUCAAUUUUGCUAUUUCUGUGUACUCCAUGAGUUUCCGCUGCCAUUCUUCAACUGUGGGUAUUUCAUGUUGCUUCCAUUUCUGUGCAAGUAGUAUUCUUGCCACGGUCGUAGCAUAAAGGAACAGUUUCUGGUCACUCUUUAUUAUAUCAUCUCCAACCAUACCUAGCAAAAAUGCCUCUGUGUGGUUUUUUUGGAAAGUGUAUCUAAAAAACUUUUAAAACUCAUUAUAAAUAUUUCCCCAGAAGGUUUUAACUUUUGCAUAUAACCACCACAUGUGGAAAAAGUUUCCUUCCUUCAAUUCACAUUUCCAACAGUUCUUAUUUCUCAUUCUAUACAUCUUUGCUCACCUGGCAGUGGUAAGAUACCAUCUAUACAUCAUUUUUAAUAUAUUUUCCUUCUGGGUCACACAAGCAGUAAAUUUUAAUCCUAUGUUCCAUAGCUUUAACCAUUUAUCAUAUUCAAUAUUAUAACCUAUGUCAGUUGUCCACUUUGUCAGGACCUCUUUAAUUUCUUCAUCCUUUGUAUGCCACUCCAGCAGAAACUCAUAAAUUCUAGACAAUGUUUUUGUACUUCCUUGUAUUACAUCCAUUUCUAUCCUUGAUCUAACAUGUUCGAAGCCAUUGUUGUUUGUCCUUUAAAAAUAUAUUAUUGAACUGGUGGUAUUCCAACCAUCCUGUUAAUUUUGUUUUGAGAUCCUCAUAAAGCCUAAUUUUAAUAAUAUUAUUUUCUUCUAUCAAUAGGUCUCUGUAAGUUAACCAGUCUCCUUUCAUCACUCGGGAGAUUGACAACAUGGCAGGCGACAGGGACACGGUGGUUGUCAUCUCCCUGGACCAGCACUUCCGCCCUUCCCCACUGAGGUCUUCAUUCGAAGGAUGAUCAACAUCUGGGGAGCCAUCCAGCGCCUUCUCCUGAGGAGCCCAGAUACAAAAGUCAUCAUCAAAGGGGAGAACACCCGGGAGGUGUCGAUAGAACAAGAGCAAUGUGUGGGCGUCCAUGGCUAUACCCAAUACCUUGCACAAAAGGAUAUUUUUAGGGAUCUGAAGGUGGGUUUUGUUGAUGCCUGGGACAUGACAGUUGCUUACAGUGUGAACAUACUUCAACCACCAGAUCACGUGGUUGGAAAUCAGACUCAUAUGUUUUUAACUUACAUAUGUUGAAGCGCUAAGGGAUAUCAAAUGUGAAAAGUUCAAUUACCCAAAGCAAAGGAUUCUGGAUUGGCAAAACUGUCAGUUAUAUAUACGGAACUGCCAGAUCCUUCCCAAGGGUCCACCUGGAAUCAUUUUCCAGCAGUGCCUGUGCAGAUCCUUCUGAGAAGCUUUUCCCUGUGCCACUAAUAUCUCAUGGGGUGCCACUUCAGACUAAGGUGGGGUAGGGUGAUUUGGAGGUGCAGGUAAGUUGUUAUGGAGAGUGGAGCAGAAGACCUCACGUCCCAGCCACCUCUUCUGCAGAGGGGUUUGCAGAAGUGUUUUGGUAGGGGGCGAGGAGAAAAC